rnacentral:rRNA from 1 species
AACGAACGCUGGCGGCAGGCCUAACACAUGCAAGUCGAACGCUCCGCAAGGGGAGUGGCGCACGGGUGAGUAACACGUGGGAACCUACCUUCUGGUACGGAACAACCAAGGGAAACUUUGGCUAAGACCGUAUACGACCUCCGGGUGAAAGAUUGAUCGCCGGAAGAGGGGCCCGCGUCCGAUUAGGUAGUUGGUGAGGUAACGGCUCACCAAGCCUUCGAUCGGUAGCUGGUCUGAGAGGAUGACCAGCCACACUGGGACUGAGACACGGCCCAGACUCCUACGGGAGGCAGCAGUGGGGAAUAUUGGACAAUGGGCGCAAGCCUGAUCCAGCCAUGCCGCGUGAGUGAUGAAGGCCUUUGGUUGUAAAGCUCUUUCACCCACGACGAUGAUGACGGUAGUGGGAGAAGAAGCCCCGGCUAACUUCGUGCCAGCAGCCGCCGUAA